rnacentral:rRNA from 1 species
AUACGUAGGGUGCGAGCGUUAAUCGGAAUUACUGGGUGUAAAGCGUGCGCAGGCGGUUUUUUAAGUCUGAUGUGAAAGUCCCGGGCUUAACCUGGGAACGGCAUUUGAGACUGGUCGACUAGAGUACGGGAGAGGGGGGUGGAAUUCCUCGUGUAGCGGUGAAAUGCGUGGAGAUCAAACGGGAUUAGAUCCCCUGGUAGUCCACGCCCUAAACGAUGUCAAUUAGCUGUUGGGGGUUUGAAUCCUUGGUAGCGUAGCUAACGCGUGAAAUUGACCGCCUGGGGAGUACGGCCGCAAGGUUAA